AUUGAACGCUGGCGGCAGGCCUAACACAUGCAAGUCGAGCGGAUGAAGGGAGCUUGCUCCUGGAUUCAGCGGCGGACGGGUGAGUAAUGCCUAGGAAUCUGCCUGGUAGUGGGGGAUAACGUCCGGAAACGGGUGCUAAUACCGCAUACGUCCUGAGGGAGAAAGUGGGGGAUCUUCGGACCUCACGCUAUCAGAUGAGCCUAGGUCGGAUUAGCUAGUUGGUGGGGUAAAGGCCUACCAAGGCGACGAUCCGUAACUGGUCUGAGAGGUUGAUCAGUCACACUGGAACUGAGACACGGUCCAGACUCCUACGGGAGGCAGCAGUGGGGAGUAUUGGACAAUGGGCGAAAGCCUGAUCCAGCCAUGCCGCGUGUGUGAAGAAAGUCUUCGGAUUGUAAAGCACUUUAAGUUGGGAGGAAGGGCAGUAAGUUAAUACCUUGCUGUUUUGACGUUACCAACAGAAUAAGCACCGGCUAACUUCGUG
rnacentral:rRNA from 1 species